rnacentral:rRNA from 1 species
GACGUAGGGCGCGAGCGUUGUCCGGAUUUAUUGGGCGUAAAGAGCUCGUAGGCGGCUUGUCGCGUCGUUCGUGAAAACUUGGGGCUCAACCCCAAGCUUGCGGUCGAUACGGGCAGGCUAGAGUUCGGUAGGGGAGACUGGAAUUCCUGGUGUAGCGGUGAAAUGCGCAGAUAUCAGGAGGAACACCCGUAGCGAAGGCGGCACUCUGGGCCGAUACUGACACUGAGGAGCGAAAGCGUGGGGAGCGAACAGG